CUUUACUGGAGAUUGUCUCUACUGGUGUUUUGUGGGUGAGCCCAGCAUAAGGAGAGAAAUUCACCUUCGGAAGACUGCUAAUUGCCUGAAGGUUUCCAAAUGUGAUCAUUGUGGGCUGAACACCCAUGAAGGCCCAGAGAUGAAUGAAAAAGCAGUGGAUGUAUAGGCUUCACUUUCUACAUAAUGCAGUUCUAACAGGAAAAUUCACAAACUACAAGAAGAAGCAAGAGGAAAAGAGCAUUUGUAACAACAGAAAUUAUGCCAAUAAAAUACUGAAGAAACCAACCUUAUUAUUUAAUCAAAUUGUUGCGGGAUAAGAGAUGAGAUCUGAAGAAUGAUUCACACAUACACGUUAAGUGCUAUUUCUUUAUAUAAUCUAGAAUUUUCUUUUAACUUUUUAGUUUUAUACCUUUCCUUCUCUGCAGCUGGCUAUGUUACCUUGAGCUUAAAGCUCUAUUCUCCAAACAGAGAAGUCCAACGGUGGACAAGGCUUACUGUCAACUCUAACAGCCCUCUGCUCUGAGUCCAAACUGGCAGAAACACUUUAACCAAGGGCUUUUUGAGUAUGGAAGCAUCGUAACUAUUACCUAGUGUUCCUUAUGUCCCCAUCUUUCAACGUUACAGCUACGUCAGCCAAGUUUCUGGUGAAGACCUAAUUUUCAACCCCUACUUUUUUAGGAUGUGUACCUAUGCAAGACCAGGGAAAUUCUGUAGCGAGAAAGUUCUCAUGGUAUCUAACCAUCUUUGUUUGACUGUGGACAAAAAUCUCCUCCUGCUACAGUGUUUUGAGCUACAAGAAGUCAAACAGAUAGAUAAUUACUACUAGUAUGCCAUACUUUCUUGUUUGUGUGUUUGUUUAUUUUAAGGCAAUCACAUGUUGCUUUCAAAUAUUACAAGUAUUUCAACCAUCCAAGAUGUUCAAUUUAUCUCAGCAUAUGGCUUAUUCUCACCACGUGCCAUAGAUUUCCAAGUGUAACUCUGAUUAAUAGUAUAAGUCAAACUGUUGAAGGAAAUUCUCUUCAAAUGUCAGGCUGAUUAGAAAAAUUUAGAUAUUAUCUUCUGAGCACUGGCUUUUUUUUUUAAUGAUUAUUAUUCAAACUGAGACGAGGGAUAUCAGCAGUCCUCUACUGAAAUUAGUGCAUUAUGAAAUUUAAAUUCAAUCUUACUUUAGGGAAAAUAAAUAAUCCAAAAGUCCUUUCUUCUUACAGUGCUUCUCUGUGUUUAUUUUGAUACUAUGAAUAGAUCCCACAAAAGUUGAAGAACAUCCUCAAAUACAAAUGCACUUUUCAGCCAAUUGUUUUUCUAAAACAUUUACAAUAUAAUUCAAAGCAAAAGAGAAAUACAAACACUUUAACUACUCUCGCUUUUCAUGUAGGUAGCACUAGGUACAAAUGAUAAAUAACGUUCCUAUUUGAUUAUGAUCACAAUCAUAAAGCUCACGGCAGAGUGAUGGCUUUAAUAGUUCAAAUAACCUGACUUAGGCUUUAGGUUCAAAAGGGCUAAUCUCACAAGGAGGGAAAUGUAAAUUUUAAAGGAAAGCAUUCAAAUUCUAUUGAAAUAUUUCAAGAUUAUUCCUUGUUCACACAAAUUCAUCUAUCUAAAGAAUUCCAAAUUUGGCAAGUAAGGAGAAGGACUUUUUGGAACUUAUAAAUCUUAUAAGGACUUCCCUGUCUUUGGGAGGGGAGGACAACUUAAGUAAAACAGACCACCCUUUCUCUCUCUCUGUAAAUCAGUUAAAUGUUUUUGAUCAUUAAGCAUGAAAAGAAGGGAAUAAUAAAUGGAGGGUAACUCCCUAAAGAUUGACCGGAAUACAAAGGCAUGUAAUUUUCUUACAAAAUCAUUUAGUCCUGUGCUGCAGGUAUCUCCUCCCAUGCACUCUCAAAUGAAACAAGAUUCUCAUGAAAGAGUGAGUGAUCCACGUUGUGGAAUCAGUACACUUGUUUGACCACGACAGUGUUCAGGAGAUAG